rnacentral:rRNA from 1 species
CGGUACAGAGGGUUGCCAAGCCGCGAGGUGGAGCUAAUCCCAUAAAACCGAUCGUAGUCCGGAUCGCAGUCUGCAACUCGACUGCGUGAAGUCGGAAUCGCUAGUAAUCGCGAAUCAGAAUGUCGCGGUGAAUACGUUCCCGGGCCUUGUACACACCGCCCGUCACACCAUGGGAGUGGGUUGCACCAGAAGUAGCUAGUCUAACCUUCGGGAGGACGGUUACCACGGUGUGAUUCAUGACUGGGGUGAAGUCGUAACAAGGUAGCCGUAGGGGAACCUGCGGCUGGAUCACCUCCUUA